GCGACGCUGGCGGCGUGCUACACAUGCAAGUCGAGCGAUGAAAUCCCUUCGGGGAUGGAUUAGCGGCGGACGGGUGAGUAACACGUGGGCAACCUGCCUCAAAGAGGGGAAUAGCCUCCCGAAAGGGAGAUUAAUACCGCAUAAAGUUAUGGAAUCGCAUGGUUCUGUAAUCAAAGGAGCAAUCCGCUUUGAGAUGGGCCCGCGGCGCAUUAGCUAGUUGGUAAGGUAAAGGCUUACCAAGGCGACGAUGCGUAGCCGACCUGAGAGGGUGAUCGGCCACAUUGGAACUGAGACACGGUCCAGACUCCUACGGGAGGCAGCAGUGGGGAAUAUUGCGCAAUGGGGGAAACCCUGACGCAGCAACGCCGCGUGAGUGAUGAAGGCCUUAGGGUUGUAAAGCUCUGUUAUCUGGGACGAUAAUGACGGUACCAGAGGAGGAAGCCACGGCUAACUACGUGCCAGCAGCCGCGGUAAUACGUAGGUGGCGAGCGUUGUCCGGAUUUACUGGGCGUAAAGAGUGCGUAGGCGGAUGUUUAAGUGAGAUGUGAAAUACCCGAGCUCAACUUGGGUGCUGCAUUUCAAACUGGGCAUCUAGAGUGCAGGAGAGGAAAGCGGAAUUCCUAGUGUAGCGGUGAAAUGCGUAGAGAUUAGGAAGAACACCAGUGGCGAAGGCGGCUUUCUGGACUGUAACUGACGCUGAGGCACGAAAGCGUGGGGAGCAAACAGGAUUAGAUACCCUGGUAGUCCACGCCGUAAACGAUGGGUACUAG
rnacentral:rRNA from 1 species